rnacentral:rRNA from 1 species
UACGAAGGGGGCUAGCGUUGCUCGGAAUCACUGGGCGUAAAGCGCACGUAGGCGGCUUGUUAUGUCAGGGGUGAAAUCCUGGAGCUCAACUCCAGAACUGCCUUUGAUACUGGCGAGCUUGAGUUCGGGAGAGGAGAGUGGAAUUCCCAGUGUAGAGGUGAAAUUCGUAGAUAUUGGGAAGAACACCGGUGGCGAAGGCGGCUCUCUGGACCGAGACUGACGCUGAGGCGCGAAAGCGUGGGGAGCAAACAGG